rnacentral:tRNA from 1 species
GUAAAAUGGCUGAGUAAAGCAAUAGACUGUAAAUCUAAGAACAGAGGUUUGAUUCCUCUUUUUUCCCC